AGCGAACGCUGGCGGCAGGCCUAACACAUGCAAGUCGAACGGAUCCUUCGGGAUUAGUGGCGGACGGGUGAGUAACACGUGGGAACGUGCCCUUUGGUCGGAACAACUCAGGGAACUUGAGCUAAUACCGGAUGUGCCCUUCGGGGGAAAGAUUUAUCGCCAUUGGAGCGGCCCGCGUCUGAUUAGCUAGUUGGUGAGGUAAAGGCUCACCAAGGCGACGAUCAGUAGCUGGUCUGAGAGGAUGAUCAGCCACAUUGGGACUGAGACACGGCCCAAACUCCUACGGGAGGCAGCAGUGGGGAAUCUUGCGCAAUGGGCGAAAGCCUGACGCAGCCAUGCCGCGUGAAUGAUGAAGGUCUUAGGAUUGUAAAAUUCUUUCACCGGGGACGAUAAUGACGGUACCCGGAGAAGAAGCCCCGGCUAACUUCGUGCCAGCAGCCGCCGUAAAAC
rnacentral:rRNA from 1 species